GGGUUGUGAGGUUAAGCGACUAAGCGUACACGGUGGAUGCCCUGGCAGUCAGAGGCGAUGAAGGACGUGCUAAUCUGCGAUAAGCGUCGGUGAGGUGAUAUGAACCGUUAUAACCGGCGAUUUCCGAAUGGGGAAACCCAGUGUGUUUCGACACACUAUCAUUAACUGAAUCCAUAGGUUAAUGAGGCGAACCGGGGGAACUGAAACAUCUAAGUACCCCGAGGAAAAGAAAUCAACCGAGAUUCCCCCAGUAGCGGCGAGCGAACGGGGAGGAGCCCAGAGCCUGAAUCAGUGUGUGUGUUAGUGGAAGCGUCUGGAAAGGCGCGCGAUACAGGGUGACAGCCCCGUACACAAAAAUGCACAUAUUGUGAGCUCGAUGAGUAGGGCGGGACACGUGGUAUCCUGUCUGAAUAUGGGGGGACCAUCCUCCAAGGCUAAAUACUCCUGACUGACCGAUAGUGAACCAGUACCGUGAGGGAAAGGCGAAAAGAACCCCGGCGAGGGGAGUGAAAAAGAACCUGAAACCGUGUACGUACAAGCAGUGGGAGCCUCUUUAUGGGGUGACUGCGUACCUUUUGUAUAAUGGGUCAGCGACUUAUAUUCUGUAGCAAGGUUAACCGAAUAGGGGAGCCGAAGGGAAACCGAGUCUUAACUGGGCGUUAAGUUGCAGGGUAUAGACCCGAAACCCGGUGAUCUAGCCAUGGGCAGGUUGAAGGUUGGGUAACACUAACUGGAGGACCGAACCGACUAAUGUUGAAAAAUUAGCGGAUGACUUGUGGCUGGGGGUGAAAGGCCAAUCAAACCGGGAGAUAGCUGGUUCUCCCCGAAAGCUAUUUAGGUAGCGCCUCGUGAAUUCAUCUCCGGGGGUAGAGCACUGUUUCGGCAAGGGGGUCAUCCCGACUUACCAACCCGAUGCAAACUGCGAAUACCGGAGAAUGUUAUCACGGGAGACACACGGCGGGUGCUAACGUCCGUCGUGAAGAGGGAAACAACCCAGACCGCCAGCUAAGGUCCCAAAGUCAUGGUUAAGUGGGAAACGAUGUGGGAAGGCCCAGACAGCCAGGAUGUUGGCUUAGAAGCAGCCAUCAUUUAAAGAAAGCGUAAUAGCUCACUGGUCGAGUCGGCCUGCGCGGAAGAUGUAACGGGGCUAAACCAUGCACCGAAGCUGCGGCAGCGACACUAUGUGUUGUUGGGUAGGGGAGCGUUCUGUAAGCCUGUGAAGGUGGCCUGUGAGGGUGGCCUGUGAGGGUUGCUGGAGGUAUCAGAAGUGCGAAUGCUGACAUAAGUAACGAUAAAGCGGGUGAAAAGCCCGCUCGCCGGAAGACCAAGGGUUCCUGUCCAACGUUAAUCGGGGCAGGGUGAGUCGACCCCUAAGGCGAGGCCGAAAGGCGUAGUCGAUGGGAAACAGGUUAAUAUUCCUGUACUUGGUGUUACUGCGAAGGGGGGACGGAGAAGGCUAUGUUGGCCGGGCGACGGUUGUCCCGGUUUAAGCGUGUAGGCUGGRUYUCCAGGCAAAUCCRGRAAUACUA
rnacentral:rRNA from 1 species